UACGAAGGGGGCUAGCGUUGCUCGGAAUCACUGGGCGUAAAGCGCACGUAGGCGGCUUGUUAAGUCAGGGGUGAAAUCCUGGAGCUCAACUCCAGAACUGCCUUUGAUACUGGCGAGCUCGAGUCCGGGAGAGGUGAGUGGAACUGCGAGUGUAGAGGUGAAAUUCGUAGAUAUUCGCAAGAACACCAGUGGCGAAGGCGGCUCACUGGCCCGGUACUGACGCUGAGGUGCGAAAGCGUGGGGAGCGAACAGG
rnacentral:rRNA from 1 species